CAUAGCACAGUUACAGCUUACUGAGGACAUGACCUUAGAUAGGAGGGUGUGGAUGACCCACAUUAGGGUAGAAGGCUAGUGCAUAGUCUCAUUAUUCUUCCUUACUAGUAGGUGCAUUAACGCACUAUAAUUUCUUGUGCUCGAAUUUCUGUUAUUAUGUAUUACUUUCUGUACUUUAGUUACUCUAUUUUAUUUGUGUCACUUUCGUUAUCUGUUUUCCCAUGUCGCUUUGUACUUCGUAGCCUUAUCUGACCUCCUUUUAUGCUUUUAUUGAGCCGAGGGUCUUUCAAAAACAGCCGUUUUACCUUGGUAGGAGUAAGUUCUGCGUACACUUUACCCUCCCCAGACCCCACGUUGUGGGAUUUCACUGGGUUGUUGUUGUUGUAAGUGUUCCAAAACAGUACCUGUUCUCAUUUCUCUUCUCCUUAGCCUAUUUAUCAUCUUGGUUAAAUGCUACAUUACGUACACUACACGUGAAAUAACUUGAUUUCAUAGGAGAGACACCCUUUGUGGUCGAGAGUUUAGUAAGACAGUUAGGAUUGCUUUGGAGACUGCAUGUCCUGUUAAGAUGGACGAAAAUGUGCACGAGUUGGAAGAAAGAUUAGCAAGUUCCACCUACGAGGAAAACACUCGAUGGGGAAAUGAGUAUGGUUUUCCAGUUGAAGAUGUAUUGACCGGGUUGACAAUUCAGUGCAAAGGUUGGAAAUCUAUUUAUUAUUGUCCAAAAAUGGGAGGCUUUUUAAGGGGUUAGUGCAACUACUUUGGACCAGACAUUAGUGCAACAUAAGAUAUGGUCUGAUGAAGAUCUAAUGAUUUUGAUUUUAAAGUAUAGCCCAGCUUGGUAUGGAGUUGGAAAGUUUAAUCCUGCCCUUAUGCUUCAUGGAACUGUACUACUCUAUUGUCCCUUCUAUCUACUCAAAGGACUUUCUUGUUUCCGCAGGUCUCCAGGAGAUGGUUUUUGUCAUUUGCUUAUGUGAUAAUCGCGGAGCUAAUAUGUAGUCUUGCUGAAUUUCUCUGGAGUGGUGGAACAAUUUUGGGAUGGUGGAUUGAACUAAGAAUGUGGCUUUAUAAGUUAUUAGGAAUUUCCAAUUCUACAUUCAUAGUCACUCCAAAAGUCUCUGAUGACGAUGUGUUGUUGAGAUACAAGCAAGAGAAAAUGGAAUUUGGAAGUGCUUCACUUAUGGUUACAAUUUUGUCAACACUGGCAAUGCUUAAUCUAUUUUGCCUUGUGGGGUUAGUGAAAGAAGUGAUCAGAACAAGAGAAGUGGGAUUGAGAUAUGCAUUUGAGAAUAUCGGUUUGCAAAUUUUGCUUUAUGUAUUCCUGGUUUUGAUUAACUUGCAUAUAUACAGUGCUCUCUUCUUUCGGCAAGAAUGCUAGCUUUGUCGCAGUUCAGUCAGUUGUCUUUGCACUUUCUGCUUGCACAUGUAUUUUUAGUACACUGCAUUUUGAAUCUUUUUAGCAACAAUGUAUAAUUUUGGAAUGAGGUGAAAUGCUCCUUUGUUAUUUACCAGAA